UACGAAGGGGGCUAGCGUUGCUCGGAAUCACUGGGCGUAAAGCGCACGUAGGCGGAUCUUUAAGUCAGGGGUGAAAUCCUGGAGCUCAACUCCAGAACUGCCUUUGAUACUGGCGAUCUUGAGUCCGGGAGAGGUGAGUGGAACUGCGAGUGUAGAGGUGAAAUUCGUAGAUAUUCGCAAGAACACCAGUGGCGAAGGCGGCUCACUGGCCCGAUACUGACGCUGAGGCACGAAAGCGUGGGGAGCAAACAGG
rnacentral:rRNA from 1 species